rnacentral:rRNA from 1 species
GUACUAAUUUAUUGGUUUCUUCCUUCUGACGAACUAUGAUGUCAUUAAUUUGGUGUCUUGGGGAAUCAGGACUGUUACUUUGAAAAAAUUAGAGUGUUUAAAGCAGGCUCACGCUUGAAUACAUUAGCAUGGAAUAAUGAAAUAGGACGUUUGAUUCUAUUUUGUUGGUUUCUAGGAUCGACGUAAUGAUUAAUAGGGAUAGUUGGGGGCAUUAGUAUUCAAUUGUCAGAGGUGAAAUUCUUGGAUUUAUUGAAGACUAACUACUGCGAAAGCAUUUGCCAAGGAUGUUUUCAUUAAUCAAGAACGAAAGUUAGGGGAUCGAAGACGAUCAGAUACCGUCGUAGUCUUAACCAUAAACUAUGCCGACUAGGGAUCGGAUGAUGUUAAUUUUUUAAUGACUCAUUCGGCGCCUUACG